rnacentral:rRNA from 1 species
UACGUAGGGUGCAAGCGUUUGUCCGGAAUUAUUGGGCGUAAAGAGCUCGUAGGCGGCUUGUCGCGUCGGCUGUGAAAUCCCGGGGCUUAACCCCGGGCGCAGUGGAUACGGGCUGGCUGGAGGCAGGCAGGGGAGAAUGGAAUUCCCGGUGUAGCGGUGAAAUGCGCAGAUAUCGGGAGGAACACCGGUGGCGAAGGCGGUUCUCUGGGCCUGUUCUGACGCUGGAGGAGCGGAAAGCGUGGGGGAGCGAACAGG